UCACUAUGCUUUAAUUAUGUUCCAUUUGUAACAAUGAAAUUGGGGGUCACAACAACAUGAGGAACUGUAUUAAAGGGUCGCGGCAUUGGGAAGGUUGAGAACCACUGAUGUAGGUGGUGGCAGCCAGUCCAUCCUAGGCACCGAGGGACACUGGGUGAGAGGUUCCCGGGAAGGGGAAACAGACCUGAAUGCACGUAAGUGCACAACAUAGAAAUGACGCUAAAGAAUGUGGAGAAUGCCCGGUGAGUGCGCAUGAGCUAUGUGCCUCCUCGGGAAGGCAAUUAAUUCUGAUUGGCGUGGGGGUGGGUGAGGUUUGACAAUCAGACUGACAGCACUGACAGGUGGGGGCGAGCACAUUCCUGCAGGCCCUGAUAGGAAUCCUUAGUAGUCGGGCCAUGGGAACGAACGAACGGGGACCUCGCAAUGGGAGGCCCAGGAGGCUGGGACACGGCGAGGCUGGUACAGCCGCUAUUUAUCACCCAGAACCAAGACACAAUGGCAUUUUAAUGACCGGUUAGCCAUGCCGGCAGUGUCCCAGCUGCCGCCAGCCCUGGAGUGGUGGGAGGGCUGGGCACAUCGACAGCACCUGGUGGCCUGUCCCUCUGGAAACACAUUUCCUCCCCUUUCCAGAAUAGCCUCUCACCGCGAGGCCUGCCUCCUCUCACUCUGUGUUGCAACGGAACCACCUGCCUCCCGUGAAUGAAGACCAGAGGGUCUCAAACCCGGGACCCUUCACAUUCUUAACCAACUGCUGUGGAGAAUUCUGCUCUGGAAGAUGCUAUACAAACUUUCCCUUGUGCGUUCCUUGCGCAAAAUACAACCAGAAAUCCUGGACGUCGUAUGUAAAACAAACAUAAAGCUCUGAACUGUGGAGAGAAGGUGGCAGAAUGGCUUAGGACUUUGGGACCCCAGAAAUGACACAGAGACAACGGGCAUGUGACAACGGAGACACACGGGGAGAAUGCCAUGUGAUGGUGAAGGUGGGGAUUGGAGUGACACCGCAGGAGCCAAGCCACACCAGAGACUGUCAGCAAACCAGCAGGGCUGGGAGAGGGGCCCGGAGCAGACCCUUCCUCAGGGCCCUCGGAGGAACCAACCCUGCCAACACCUUCAUUUCAGACUCCUGGCUGCAGAACUGUGAGACAAUACAUUUCUGUUGUUUUAAGUCACCCAGUUUGUGGUCCUUGGUUACAGCAGCCCUAGGAAAUUAAUAACCAUAAUACUAAUGAUAAUAGUCACCAUUGAAUUAUUACUAUGUGGCAGGCACCAUGUGAAGUGAUUUAAUCAAAUUAUAUUACAUAUUUUUCAGCACAACCCUGUGAGAAAGGAACUGUUUUUAUUCCACAUCACAGUUGAGGAGAGGGAAGCUUAAAGAGGCCUGAGGUCAAAUUACUUUAGGUAGAAACUUAGAAAAUGAAGAGAGAAGUGAUUUGGGGUGAAAAACCUUCAAAUCACAUGUUAGAAGCAUAACUUACUUCAUCCAGGUGUUAGAUCAGCCCUACUCAGCACUCAAGGGGAAAUACAUUUAAACUAGGAAGGCUGAAAGAGUCAGGAUAGGCUAGGUUAUGCUGCAGUAACAAGUGAGCCUGAAACCCGUCCCUAGAAGUCUCUACCACGUUCAUUUUCUGGGUAGAAUUCAUGCCAUGGUGAAUUCAGUGGUUCUCAACCUUCUGGCCCUUUAAAUACAGUUCCUCAUGUUGUGACCCAACCAUAAAAUUAUUUUCGUUGCUA